AUCAAGUCGAGAUUCUUUCUGUUCAAGUUUAAGUUUAUUUUGACUAAACAUAAUUUGAAUUUUGAGGUUCAUUUACUUAUCAAAACUUCGGAACUGAUUUAUUGUCCAAACAAUAAUAGUUAUGUUUCUAUUCUUUUAAAGGAAAUAUUUCAUGAGAAAUAUGGAAAGUAAUGAAACUCCAGAUAAAAUUACUAUCAAAGUAAAGGUUGCUGGUGAAGAUUAUCAUGAUCUUUUGUUAGAUUGGUCAGACAGGGAAGAUAUAGGUCGACAAAUAUUUCGCCAACUUGCAUCUAUAAUAGGAAUACCAAUUUAUAAAAUGAACGGGCUUGUGAUUCAAUGCUAUCCUGAUUCUGAUCGUGAUG